rnacentral:lncRNA from 10 species
AAGUACCUACCACGCCACCCGCUACCUGUAAUAAUCCAUCUGAAGAGGUCGCCGGGCAGCGCCUCGGCAGACAGACUGACCUGCGGGGAGGCAGCACUGAGAAGUGAAGGAAUAUUUGGGAGGAUCAGAAGCUUGGUCCUGAUUUUGCCAUCAACAGGAACUUGAUGACUUCAAGGGAGUCCCCAAACCCUGGGUUUCUGUUUUCUCAACUCUAACAUGAGGGGCUAGAUGCAUCUGGUUUAGUUAGUCUCCAUGAUGGUUUAGUUCGUCUCCAUGAUCCUGUGAAUUUCAGAUGUUGAAAAUCUUCGGAAAAGCCCUGAAAGAUGAACAGUGGUCUCAAAUAGUCAAGACCCCCUGCUGGGAGGAGCUUCUAUCCUGCUCUGUGGAAGAAAUGGGCAUGCCAGAUGCCUGGAAGAUCAGAGGCUCACAUUCCAGCUGUAGGUGGCCCACCAGGUGUCAACAACUGUAGAGUUCCAUCAAGAGUCAUCAUUUUACAGUUACAAGUCGGAGGGGCCUUCACAGAUCCGUCAGGCUCAACACUGCCUCCUUAGUGAGCCUGUGAACCACCCAAGACGGCUGGUCAUCAGUGUCAUCCUCUUCCUUUUCCGGACAACUAUCUUUAAAAGAAAAAAAAAGAGUGUC